GGAAGGUGGUGCAAAUUAGACAGACAGCUUUUGCAGCUAUUUUUAAUAUGCUGGGUAAUGUUUGGUAUCAAGAGAUGUUGCAAGCUUCGAGCAUGAGAGCGUGGAAGGGGAAAUUGGUGGGCCUUUAAGGGAAAUGGUGGAGGUGUGUACAACCCCCAACAUAGAGGAUCUCUUCCCAAUAUUGGCUAGACUUGACCUACAGGGUCUACAAAAAAAGAGCAGCGAGU
rnacentral:misc_RNA from 1 species